rnacentral:rRNA from 1 species
AUGAAUCGCCGUUUUCUGAAUCUUCUAGUCAACAAAUUGAACGGCCGCUGCCCAGCCGUUAAUCUGCACCGCAUCGAUCUGGCAAGCUUAUUCUGUCCUGCCGGACUACCGCCAGCACAUCCAGCAGCAAUAACCAAGAAGGCUUCGGCAUCGGGUCUGGCUCCGGCUCGGCUCCCUCCCGCCACCAUAUCCUUCUACCAGCCCUAUCCGCCGAGCCAAAACGGGUGGAUGGAUUUCAUGGCCCUCAACGACGACAUCAUUGCCUUCGACUAUGAGAGCCGCACCCUUCUCUAUGAUAGCGCCGUUGGGGCCGUCCGCGUCAUCAACCCGAUCAUAGACCCCAGGUGCCGCUCCAUUUCUCUCACCGUUGGCAAUGUUUUCUAUGUCAUGGCGCGCCAGUCCGGCCUGCCAUGUCAGGGGUACCAUUUUCAAGCUCUCAGCUUGAAAGACUGGUGCUGGCGUCGUCUCCACCCGCUCCCCAUUAAUUUCCUGGAAAUCAUCAAGAACCCAACUCACAAGUACGGGUUGGGGUUGGGUGAGGUGGACCCCUUUGAGUUCAGCGCCUAUGCAGCGGUCGGUGACUCGGACAUCUGGAUAUCCACCGUGGGCGCGGGUACGCACUCCUUCAGCACUAGUAGCGGCAAGUGGAGCAAGCUAGGUGACUGGAUCCUGCCAUUUAGUGGCCCUGCCCAGUAUAUCGCAGAGCAUGGCCUCUGGUUCGGCUUUUCUCGAAAAGAUGAGCACCUCUGUGUAGCCAACCUGGUGCAGGAGCCACCGGCGCCACUGCUUCAUGAAUUUCCCUUUCAGCAAGUGUGGGAAGAACCGCAUCUGUCAGAGGCGUGGACACCGAUGGCGGCUAGUCUCCUGCCGCUUGGCUCUGGCAAGCUUUGCACAGCCAGGGUCUUCCGGACAAGCAAGGGCAACAAGGACAGGAAAGCUGAGAGCAUUGUGGUGUUAGCUGGCAUGGAGUUUGUCAACGAUGCCAGCACGGGAAGGCUAAUGAUAAUCAAGCACAAGUCCGUGAGCUACAUCGUUGGUGGAUACGUCUUCAAACUGCUGUGA